GGUUCUAUGGUGUAAUGGUCAGCACUCUGGACUCUGAAUCCAGCGAUCCGAGUUCGAGUCUCGGUAGAACCU
rfam:Lottia gigantea unplaced genomic scaffold LOTGIsca_1, whole genome shotgun sequence.